GAUCCCGCCAAAGCUUUUACUCUCUUCCUCGGAAAUUCUCAACGCGUCGUUUGCUUCUCUCUUGCGUCAUCUGUGAUUCGUGCGACGGGGAAAUUGCGAUUCAACACCAAAAUCUUCGAGCCUUUUUUUUUUUUGUAUAUAAUGAAGAGACAUCGGAGUAACAACAAGUAACGAAAGCUGCAGCGAGGUUGAGAUUUUGACGAUGAUCUGUGUUUCGUUACGAAAUCGAAUACAUAAUUGGCUUCGCGACUAUGUUAGGCUCCAAUCUUUCGUUGUGAUUCUUAUUUACGCUCAGAUUGGGUGCGCGUUGAUCGGUUCACUAGGGGCAUUGUACAAUGGAGUCUUGCUAAUAAAUUUGGCGAUUGCGUUAUUUGGGUUAGUGGCAAUCGAGAGUAAUAGCCAGAAGCUUGGCAGAACCUAUGCGGUUCUUCUCUUCUGUGGCAUUCUUCUUGAUGUCUCAUGGUUCAUACUCUUCUCCAAGGAGAUUUGGAACCUUUCUUCUGAGAUGGAUCAAGCCUUUUACAUCUUCUCUGUGAAGCUCGCUAUGGCUAUGGAAAUUGCUGGGUUUGUUGUGAGGAUAUCGUCUUCUCUGUUAUGGUUUCAGAUUUAUAGGCUGGGAUCUUCUGUUAUAGACACUUCAUUUCCUCGUCAAUCAGAUUCAGACUUACGAAAUAGCUUCUUAGAACCUCCUAUUUUCACUAGGCAACGUUCACGUGAUCCAGAAUCACGAAAUAGCUUCUUAGAGCCUCCUGCUAUACCUAAGCCACGUUCACGUUCUCAUGAAAUCUUGGGAGAUUCUGCUGACGAACCAGCCUUCUACACUCCUCUGCUUGAUGGCUGCCAAAGCAAUAUCACUACGCCCGAUAUAACACAGUUGAUGCAAUAUUGUGAGAAUUGGAUGAACCAUCUUGAAAAUAACUAUGCCUUUUAGCUCUUCGUCACUCUAGUCACAGAGAAACAAGAGUCGUACAGCUUUGAUAGUACAUAACAGUGGUUAAAUAUCAUUCAGCUGGAGACAUUUACAAAGGAUCCCCAUCAUCUGCUGCAGAAGCCUCUCGAAAUAAGUCUCCUUUCUCCAGAUCCUUGGAGGCGCUUGAUUCAAGUCUCCGUUGAUACAACAUCUAUUGACUAUGGCCGGAAGAUAGCUUUUGGAUAGAGGAACUUCAGUCAACAAUCGAAAGGCAUUCAAGAACCAUUUGCCUUACAUCAUCACUGAUUUGACCCAGAGAACUGUAUAGAUACGGUGUGACAUAUGGAAUAGGAAUGUACAUAUCAGCAUUCUUUUCUGUAAAUGAAAAAUAUUAAAAUACAUUCUUUUGAGGUGAAUUGGAAGAUUAGUAUAAAGAUCUU